rnacentral:tRNA from 1 species
GCCUAUGUUCCCACAAAUGAGGCCAAUUUUUGGGAUGUGCUUGAUAGGCUCUAUGCUAACUAUUGAAUUUUGACU